rnacentral:rRNA from 1 species
UACAGAGGCCUCGAGCGUUAGGCGGAAUCACUGGGCUUAAAGCGUGUGUAGGCGGACUUCUAAGUGCCUUGUGAAAUCCCACGGCUCACCCGUGGAACUGCUGGGCAUACUGGGAGUCUUGAGCCACCUAGGGGCGAGCGGAACAAAUGGUGGAGCGGUGAAAUGCGUAGAUAUCAUGUGGAACGCCAACGGAGAAGUCAGCUCGCUGGGGGUGUGCUGACGCUGAGACACGAAAGCCAGGGGAGCGAACGGG